UUUUGUUUUAAAUAAACGUUUUUUUUAGUCUUUAAUUAUUCUUUCUUGUUUUUGUAAAACACGUAGCCAUUACUAAAUAUAAUUAGUUAUUUGAAGUAAUCAGACGAAAUAUUGCAUGCAAUGAUAAUGUUUAGUAGAGAUAGCUUAAUGUGUUAAGUUUCUCUAAGGGGGAGGAGCCCCAUUCGAACAAGUCUGAGUGAGCGCGCGAUGUUUGAAGAGACCUGAGACCGGUUGAUGGUGCACGCGAUGGAUUUGGAAAACAUCAUGAAACGGUGUUCAUGGAGUUCUAAAGGAUUGUGGGCAAGAAUCUCAAGCAAUCAUCUAAUUGAGAUAUUUCAGUCUAAAGAGGGGAUGUUGGGCAGCUGUUGACAGCUUUCACAAUAAAUCAAGACUAAAGAGCCAGCUGAUACUAGGUUUCUCCCUUUGCCCUUUGCGACAACCCUACAGAUUUUUACAAAAUAUGCUUUGACUCUGAUGACGAUUACGCAUUCCACCACCUGGACAUUGGAAUCAUCCUCAUUGAGCAUGAAGGUGAUGUGCUCUCAUCCUCUCUCCGUCUCAAUCCAGCCUCAUUGAAGAUCAUCAUUGAAGGAGAUUUUGUGAUGGACAGUAUUGAAGACUUGUCAAAAGCUGUGCAUUCUGUAUGGACUUACGCACUGCAUCUCAACUACCCUAAAUCUGUGAAGAACACAUUCCAGAUCAUCCAACAGGUACUUCUCAUGUUGGGCCACAGUGAACUAAAACCCAGGUUGCAAACUCGGAAAAAUUGUCCUACAAUGUUAGGAAAUGCAAGAAGCUUCCAUGAGAAGUCACUUGUGUUCUGCCGUACGAGACAUUAAAGUGUAUUCUGUCUCUGCAUAUUAGUGCUGUUAGAGCUCCGUUAAUGUGUGUUCACACAAUUCUUCAGCCAAGUUUAAAGUUACAGAGACUUGCCUCUGUUUUAACUUAAGCCCAGUUGUUAAUGCACAUCCAGGCAUUCACAAGGGAUAUAGCAUAUAUUCUUGAAUACUGUGUUCAUGUUUCUUCUACAAAAUAGUUACAAUUGUUAACAAGCUGUUCCAAAGCUUAUUUUUACUUGUCUUGUGGCUGACAAGUUUUAUGUAUUGU